GCCAUCCAGAACACAGAUCAAUAUUCUGAUCUAAGAGUUGGGCCAUUUGCCCAAUGAGCGAGGAGUAGUCCCACUUAGCUAGAGCUGAGGCUUCUGUGACAAACUCUUGGUUCUCUGUGGGGUCCUGUCAUUGCACAUGGCAGGAACUCAGUCAUUCCAAAAACUCUCUUAUUCAGAGAGCAGGGAGGCUGGGUCAGAUUUUCAAGAUAUCUCCACUCGCCUCCAGCCGUGUGACUAUGCAGAUUCCAUAGAAAGUAAUUCAGGCAAAUGCAAAUGAAAACCACACUGAGGCUCCUUCUGUGAGGAUGGCCUACAUCAGCAAAACAGUAAAUGACAGAUGUUGGCAAGGCUGUGGAGAAAAAAGGACUCUUCUAUACUGUUUGUAAUAGCCUCAACUUGGAAGCAAUCCAGACGCCCAAUGACAGGUGAAUAGCUAAGCUGACCCUCUAUGAAGAAGAAGAAUUUCAUCAGCUGGUGCUGAUGAUCACCAGAGGACCAGACGUGCUGUGUUUUUUCCCCUGGACGUCACAUCGACUCACUGCUCCCCUUAGACUUGCUGGUGGACUUUGAGACAAUCUCUCUAUGCUGCUGAACUCAUUGAAAAUCAACUUCAACAGUCCAUUGACUUCACCUCUGGCAGCUUGGAGCCUCUCCAGAGACAGAUAAACUCCCUUGCUAAGGUGGUACUCCAGAAGCGCCAUGGUUUGGACUUGAUUUAUGCUAAACAGUGUGAUCUUUGUCUAGAAAAAUGUUGUUUUUUUGUAAAUGAAACUGGAUUUGUAGAACAGAAUGUUGAUACCUUGCACAAACUUAGUCAUUAUAUUAAGAAUUCCUUUUCCUCUUUUGGUGCUAACUCUUGGUUUUCUUCUCCUUGGCUUCUGCCUCUCCUAGGCCCUUUGCUGGCUAUUGUAGUCCUAUUACUGAUUGCUCCUUGCCUCAUUCAAUUCCUCAAGAAACACAUAUAUGACAUUAUACAUGUCACAGUUCAAAGGGUCUCUGUUCACCCUUACACUCGUAUUCCUUUAGAAGAGAUAAGUGCUCUUGCUGACAUUGAUCUAUAGACACUGUUCAUUAAUUAAAGAAAUAAGGAGGAGGUGUGGGGCUAUGUGUAAGCUUGACAGAGCUUAGGGAGAACUCCCCCCAUCCUUGGAUGGAGGUCUGAGAAUAUACUCUCUUGUUAGUCUCUCUCAACAGAGGUGAGCAAAGGGGAGAAACCAUGUCUCUCAGACUUAGCUCUUCCCUUCUUGACUCUCAAGCCCACAGAAACCUCACUAUCCCUCUCCAUUAACCACAGGCCACAUGGCUGCCUACCUUAAGAUUCAUUUACUCAAAGUUCACCUCACCUUCUGAUCACAGAGGAGAACACAUCUUAUCACACACUCCAUCAUCCACCUCAGACCCCAGACAAGAGAAAUUCCAAACUAUAUGGCCUUUUGAUAUCCAUCUUCUCUCUGUCUCACCCUACUGGUUUAACCCCUAUGCUUCUCUCAAAUACCUUUGGAUAAUUAAGUUGCUUGCUUCAUGGAGAAUAACUGUAUUGUAUCUCAUAAAUUCCUGUCAUACCAACCCCCUACCAUAGGGGCAAGAUGACCAUUAAGAAACCUGUAAUUUCUGACAUGUUUGAAAUAUGUUCUUUGUUUGGUUUUCUAUUUAAACUCAUGUCCACCUGCCAAUAAAGGAGA